rnacentral:lncRNA from 1 species
GUCCAGGAAGAAAAGCAGAAUGAAUUUUGGGGACAACCAGUAGUCUGUCACAUCUCAUUUGGACAGAUUUUUUUUUUUUUAAUGCAGGAAGGAAAUACUGUGGCUAUCUCUAAGUUAAUACGGUUUGUAAAGACUGUUUCCUCUACACUUUCUGAAUUACCUAAACUUUGUGCAGUGAUCAUCUAUUUCUUUCAUAACCAGGUCCUACAGAAGCAAUGCAGAUUGAGAUGAAGGCCUGCACGAGCAGUGGUUUGCAUUUCAGGAAAAGGACUUUGAAUUUAGGGAACUUGAAUCUUUUAUACUGGACAGCCAGCAUGCCCUGCCUUUGCACCAAAGGGAGACACUAUCUCUGUCUUCAAAGACUGUUUGCUGUACAAACUUCAUCAAAGACAUUCUUGGGCAACAGAUAGUCGAUGUCUCUGCUCCUAAGAUAUGCAGAAAUGUGACAGAUGCGUGGAAAAGUUCUCCCAGCAGUGCUAAGCCUGCUGUAGCACUUUAAAAAGCUAAAGAAGUAAGACCUCAGCCCUCCAGAAUUCAGUGGAAGAUCAACUAGCUGAUGUGGAACUACAAGCAAAACAUUUCACUUUUCAGUGCUUUUCUUUCUGUGAUUACAAAAUAGGAAUGAUAUCUGCCCACUCACUGCUUAUUUUGAGAAAUAAAGGAAAAAGAACAGUCUGACAAAUGCUUUGAGUUUCAUGAUGGACACUAAAAUAGGAGAACAUCAUAUAAAGACAUACUGGGUCCUAAUCACACUUUUAUUCUCCAAUGACUUUGGGGAAAGUAUGACAAAUUUACAUAUAUUUUAUUCUGAUAAGGUGGAAAUACUGUGGUUUUUUUUUUGUAAGUGCUGAACAUGAGUUUAAGCCCUUAGUUUUGUCAAACUAUAAAGCUGACUAAAUAUGUUUAAACACUAUUUUUAUUGAAACUGCUGUUUAGAUUUCUUAAGAAAUCAAAUAGGUUUGCUG